UGGUAGUCCACGCCCUAAACGAUGCAUAUUUGGUGUAGGUCAUCCAGUUGAUCUGUGCCGGAGCUAACGCGUUAAAUAUGCCGCCUGGGGAGUACAGUCGCAAGGCUGAAACUCAAAGGAAUUGACGGGGGCCCGCACAAGCGGUGGAGCAUGUGGUUCAAUUCGACGCAACGCGAAGAACCUUACCUGGGCUCGAACGGCUUCUCAACGGCGGUGGAAACACCGCUAUCCCGCAAGGGAGUGGAGUCGAGGUGCUGCAUGGCUGUCGUCAGCUCGUGUCGUGAGAUGUUGGGUUAAGUCCCGCAACGAGCGCAACCCUUGUCCUGUGUUGCCAUCCCGCAAGGGGGCACUCGCAGGAGACCGCCAGCGAUAAGCUGGAGGAAGGUGGGGAUGACGUCAAGUCCUCAUGGCCUUUAUGUCCAGGGCUACACACGUGCUACAAUGGCCGGUACAAAGCGUUCCCAAACCGCGAGGUGGAGGCAAUCGCAAAAAACCGGUCUCAGUUCGGAUUGCAGGCUGCAACUCGCCUGCACGAAGCUGGAAUCGCUAGUAAUGGCAGAUCAGCACGCCGCCGUGAAUACGUUCCCGGGCCUUGUACACACCGCCCGUCACAUCACGAAAGUGGGUUGUACUAGAAGUCCGCAGGCUGA
rnacentral:rRNA from 1 species